rnacentral:rRNA from 1 species
UUGCUGGGUGGAUUAUUGGCGAACGGGUGAGUAUCACGUGAGUAACCUGCCCUUAACUCUGGGAUAAUCUUGGAAAACUGGGUCUAAUACCGGAUAGGAGCGUCCACCGCAUGGUGGGUGUUGGAAAGAUUUAUCGGUUUUGGAUGGACUCGCGGCCUAUCAGCUUGUUGGUGAGGUAAUGGCUCACCAAGGCGACGACGGGUAGCCGGCCUGAGAGGGUGACCGGCCACGCUGGGACUGAAACACGGCCCAUACUCCUACGGGAGGCAGCAGUGGGGAAUAUUGCACAAUGGGCGAAAGCCUGAUGCAGCGACGCCGCGUGAGGGAUGACGGCCUUCGGGUUGUAAACCUCUUUCAGUAGGGAAGAAGCGAAAGUGACGGUACCUGCAGAAGAAGCACCGGCUAACUACGUGCCAGCAGCCGCGGUAAUACGUAGGGUGCGAGCGUUAUCCGGAAUUAUUGGGCGUAAAGAGCUCGUAGGCGGUUUGUCGCGUCUGUCGUGAAAGUCCGGGGCUUAACCCCGGAUCUGCGGUGGGUACGGGCAGACUAUAGUGCGUAGGGAGACGGAAUCUGUGUGCGGUGGAUCGCAAUAUCAGGAGGAACACCGAUGGCGAAGGCAGGUCUCUGGGCUGUAACUGACGCUGAGGAGCGAAAGCAUGGGGAGCGAACAGGAUUAGAUACCCUGGUAGUCCAUGCCGUAAACGUUGGGCACUAGGUGUGGGGACCAUUCCACGGUUUCCGCGCCGCAGCUAACGCAUUAAGUGCCCCGCCUGGGGAGUACGGCCGCAAGGCUAAAACUCAAAGGAAUUGACGGGGGCCCGCACAAGCGGCGGAGCAUGCGGAUUAAUUCGAUGCAACGCGAAGAACCUUACCAAGGCUUGACAUGUUCUCGAUCGCCGUAGAGAUACGGUUUCCCCUUUGGGGCGGGUUCA